AGUGAACGCUGGCGGUAGGCCUAACACAUGCAGGUCGAACGGCAGCACAGUAAGAGCUUGCUCUUACGGGUGGCGAGUGGCGGACGGGUGAGGAAUACAUCGGAAUCUACUUUUUCGUGGGGGAUAACGUAGGGAAACUUACGCUAAUACCGCAUACGACCUACGGGUGAAAGCAGGGGAUCUUCGGACCUUGCGCGAUUGGAUGAGCCGAUGUCGGAUUAGCUAGUUGGCGGGGUAAAGGCCCACCAAGGCGACGAUCCGUAGCUGGUCUGAGAGGAUGAUCAGCCACACUGGAACUGAGACACGGUCCAGACUCCUACGGGAGGCAGCAGUGGGGAAUAUUGGACAAUGGGCGCAAGCCUGAUCCAGCCAUACCGCGUGGGUGAAGAAGGCCUUCGGGUUGUAAAGCCCUUUUGUUGGGAAAGAAAAGCAGCAGGUUAAUACCCCGCUGUUCUGACGGUACCCAAAGAAUAAGCACCGGCUAACUUCGUG
rnacentral:rRNA from 1 species